AUAAAAUACUAUUGCUCUGCACUGUGUGCCUGUAACCUCACUAACAUGUUUAGUUGUCAUACAAGUAUUGAGAUAUUGCUUACAGACUGUCCAUUACUUUUAAAGACAUAUAUUAACUUUCAUAAAGCACCCAAAUCACACUUAAAAGAACAAGAACUGAAAAUCUUCCUAAUAUCGUGAAGACACUGAGGAAAGAAUCCCAGUUUGUCUUUCUGGAGAAAUGGUUUCAAAAAGAACUGGCACUAUCGUUACUGGGGGUGACUGCUCCUAAAUGUGUAGAAUAACCCUUCUGAUAUAAAUUCUACCUGAAAGCCUUGUCAGCAUUUGAUGAUCAGUCACGAUGAGCACAGGAGCACAGACCGUGCCUGCAGGGACAUUGGAUGUUGGAACUACGAAUGAGGAUAAUCCUUCACUCUUUAAAGACAACAUGCUUUCUGGAUGUUCACCUGGGGGAAAAAAAUAAGGGCUGCUCAGAAAAAUGAGCAGGAGAAGCUGGAAACGUUUUCAGCUGAAAGUCUGAAGAGAUGAAUUAGCUCAGCCUGCCUUGUAUUUCUAACCCCAGGUCCCUCCAUCUCUCCAGGUAGGAUUCUGUUUUUUCCCCCAAAGAACAUUUCAAUUUUGUAAGACUUUUCUGAGAGAGAAAUCACAUCCUGUACCUGAAUCAGAAUGAACUGUGGUGUGAUUAAGUCAAUUACAAUUAAAGUAGCAGCAGCAGAUUAAAGAGGCACGAGUUCUCUUUCAGGUUGAGGUGUGUCUCAGCUCCUGAAGGAAGGAAGUGUUUCAUAGUGUGCCUCCAAUGGACGCCUCGCACUGCACAGUUUCAACUGAAAAAGGCUCAAAAUGGCGGCUUAGCCCCCACAGCUCUCAGCCUUUGCGGCAGGCUCACAGGGCUGCUGUGGGGGCUUGGAGAUAGAGACUAAGCUCUACGUUUUUGGGGUUCAGAUCCAGGCUAUUUUGCUGCUUUGGAGGCUCAGAAACAGACCAAGUCCUGUGGUUUGGGGGCUUCAAAACUGGUUAAUUUAGGGGCUUGAAAUGGAAAUUUAAGUCGCACUUGUUUCUGAAGGACUCGAAACCAGGCUCUAUCAACCACCGCUGGCACUCAAAAUGGAGACAAAAAUUGUGUAGUUUCCAACCUUUGCAAAAGGCUCAGUGGAAGCUCAAAACCAAAAACUAAGUCCUACAUUUUUGGGUACUCAGAACCAGGCUCAUUGGGCCACUGUUGGGACUCAAAAUGGAGGUUCCAUCACACAUCCUUUAUAACAGGCUCAUAGUGGGGGAUGGGAGGGUGGGGUGGCGGGUGUGGCCUUGAAAAAAGUGACUAAGUCCUCCUAUCCUGGGACUCAGAACUAGGCUCAUUUGGCCAGUUUUGAGGCUCAGAAAUGAAGACUAAGUCCGAUAUGUUGGAGGCUUCAAACCAGACUCACUUGGUGGUUCAAAAUGGAGACUAAGUCAUGCAUUCUGCAGCCUUUAUAAUAGGCUCAGAGAGCUGCUGCAGGGGACUUAAAAAAAAAAAAAAAAA